AUUUGCCGUCGUCCUCCGUCCUCACUCCCGCAACUCCAUUGAAGCAGCUCGGUUAUCAGCUCAAGAUUUGUUUUCUCUCUCUCUCUAUUUAUUUAUAAACUCGCUUUACUUCUUCUUGUUCCCCUUCUUAGGGUUGUCGAUGCGUUACCAAAUCAAGUGAAUGGAACUUGGAUAUGAAUACAUACUUGUUUUUCUCUGAAACCCUACAUCAGCAAAGACAAUUCUCCAGUUGAAGCAUACGUAACUUAAAGUUGUGAACCCAGAUCCUCUGAAGUCUGAAAUGUAGAGCUGUUGAUUCUGGUCUGCUAUCUUGAUAUUUCAUGAAAAUAAGUUCUUUGAUAAAUUUAUUAAGGAGCGGAAAGAGAAAGAUCCAAAGAUUGAUGUAGCAGUUGCAACUAAGUUUGUUGCAUUACCAUGGAGAUUAGGACGCGAAAGUGUUGUCAAAGCCUUAAAGGAUCCUCUCAGUCGCCUAGAACUCUCGUCUCUGGAGCUGUAUCAACUACACUGGAUUUUUGUCAAAGGACAACACCGUAUGAUGUUGACGAGUUGAAUGUGGUUCGAGAGCAGUGGGCGCAAUACUUUAGAAGUAAAUAUUUAUUGAAUGCAUAACUAUUAGCUUAGGUAGAACAAAGUAAUAUUAUUAGUGUUGUUGUAUGUGUUGGAUAAAUUUAUACAAGUUUUUAUUUGUUAUGUAUUA